rnacentral:lncRNA from 1 species
UAUUUUAAAAAGGAACUUUCUGCCACUCCAGAUAUGGGUUUGUUUGGACCCAGGCUUUCGACACUGUAGUUUGAUUCCACUUUAAUUGCCAUGAAAUCCUGGGAUGUGAGGUUUGCUCUCUUUGCAAAACAACAACUCCCAGGAUACUGUUGUAUUGAGCCACACAGGUAAAAAUAAAUUCGUUCUCAACACCAUAGGUAUCAUCUUCUCAAUGUAUUUUCAGAAAGUUACAUUUAUUAAAAAUACCGUAUUUGAGCAUUGCACUUGGGGACAUAUUUCUGUGUAUGUGCGUGUAAUAUAUUUGCAACUAUAACCAUGUAGUUUUUUAUAUAUUUACUAGCUUUGCCCGGCCACGCGUUGCUGUGGCUUAUGGGAAUCCUUUGUUGGCCAGGUGGAAUAGCAGUGAAUAGCCUUGCAGUCUCAAAGCCUGGCCAUUUUCUGGAGUAGCUGGAGCUUUUUGUUGUAUGAACUCAGAGGCAUGGAUGAGGGGUUGUGCUGCCAAGUUUAGGGUUUCUGGGAUGUGUAGUUUUGUUGUUUUGUCCUAGGCCGAAAUUACAUUACCCUUUUAUAUAUCUACUAGCUGUGCCCUGCCACGCGUUGCUGUGGCAAAGUGGUGGUGGUAUUGGUUAAAAAUUGUUGUGUAAUUUUUAUUUGACGUUAUUUGUAUUUUUUAAUUAAUUUUAUUGUAAGUUAUCUUUUUAUUUAUUAUAUUUUAUUAUUUUCUUGUAUAAUUUUUUAGUUAUUUUUUGUUGUUAUGGUAUUUUAUUGUAUUCAUUUUUUAGUAUUUUUUAUUAUUUUUUAUUGGGUUGCUAGGAGACCAAGUUGGAGGAGCUUAGCCUUCUAACUGGCAGCAAUUGGAUAAAAGCAAUUAUUCCUCUCUCUCUAAUUAGGACUUUAUUUUUCUUUUCUUUUUGUUGUAUCAACCUAGAGGCGUGGAUGAUGGGUUGUGUUGUCAAAUUUCGAGGUUGGGGGGCCUGUAGUUUUGUUGUUUUGUGGGUUGCUAGGAGACCAAGUGGGUGGAGCUUAGCCUUCUAACUGGCAGCAAUUGGAUAAAAACAAUUAUUCCUCUAAUUAGGACUUUAUUUUUCUUUUCUUUUUGUUGUAUGAACGUAGAGGCAUGGAUGAGGGGUUGUGCUGCCAAGUUUAGUGUUUCUGGGAUGUGUAGUUUUGUUGUUUUGUCCUAGGCCGAAAUUUCAUUACCUUUUUCUAUAUAGAGAUGAUUAGGAGUAUUGCGAAGAGGAGGCCGUU